CAGUAGCCGCGGUAAUCCGUAGGGUGCAAGCGUUAAUCGGAAUUACUGGGCGUAAAGCGUGCGCAGGCGGUUAUAUAAGACAGAUGUGAAAUCCCCGGGCUCAACCUGGGAACUGCAUUUGUGACUGUAUAGCUAGAGUACGGCAGAGGGGGAUGGAAUUCCGCGUGUAGCAGUGAAAUGCGUAGAUAUGCGGAGGAACACCGAUGGCGAAGGCAAUCCCCUGGGCCUGUACUGACGCUCAUGCACGAAAGCGUGGGGAGCAAACAGGAUUAGAUACCCCUGUAGUCCCUGUCUCUUAUAC
rnacentral:rRNA from 1 species